AUUCUCCUCUUCCUUCUCCUUCUCCUCCUCCUUCUCCUCCUCCUCCUUCUUCUUCUUCUUCUUCUUUUUCUUCUUCUUCUUCUUCUCUUCUUGCUUCUUCUCUUCUUGCUUCUUCUCUUUCUUCUUCUACGUAGGUUAUUUUCCCCAACAAAGACAUACUUAGCUAAUUAUCCACCUAAAUGAUAUAAUUAGCCAAUUUAGCUCCAAUAUGG
rnacentral:lncRNA from 1 species